ACGAAAGGACCAAGAAAACAGGACCGCUGUCAGCGACACGUCCUAACACCUAAGGCUGAACACAACUAAAGCCAAGCAACAAACCAAUAAACCCGGAGAUAACGGGCUUA
rnacentral:rRNA from 1 species